AUUGAACGCUGGCGGCAUGCUUUACACAUGCAAGUCGAACGAAGUCUUCGGACUUAGUGGCGGACGGGUGAGUAACACGUGGGAACGUACCUUUUGGUUCGGAACAACUCAGGGAAACUUGAGCUAAUACCGGAUGAGCCCAUAGGGGGAAAGAUUUAUCGCCGAAAGAGCGGCCCGCGUUAGAUUAGCUAGUUGGUGAGGUAAAGGCUCACCAAGGCUACGAUCUAUAGCUGGUCUGAGAGGAUGAUCAGCCACACUGGGACUGAGACACGGCCCAGACUCCUACGGGAGGCAGCAGUGGGGAAUCUUGCGCAAUGGGCGAAAGCCUGACGCAGCCAUGCCGCGUGAAUGAUGAAGGUCUUAGGAUUGUAAAAUUCUUUUACCAGGGACGAUAAUGACGGUACCUGGAGAAAAAGCCCCGGCUAACUUCGUGCCAGCCGCCGCGGUAAAAC
rnacentral:rRNA from 1 species